AGGAACCAGGCUCGCCUGCUCAGCUCUGUUCCUGGGCAUCUACACAGAAGGAAACAGCACAGGGCCAGUUCCUACCUUCUGGGAUUUCCUGGGUGAGAGUGAAGGCAAUGGCGACGGCCCACUCCGGGUUGACUAUAGACAGAAGGGAAAAUCUUUUAGAAUAAAGUAUAGUGUUUAAGGAGACUUCACAGAGUAAGCUAGAAAGAUACUCAACAGCAUCACCACUCAAAUAAAAGCAGAAAGAGAAAGACAUGCAUGGAGGGAUUCUACCAACUGCAAUGGAAAACUGGCAACAACUCCACCAUCCACGAACAGGGAGCCGAUCAAGUAACUCACCCAUGUGAAGCACACCAUAGUUAACAGGUCAAUAAUUCUUAGACUGUAGAUUUCAUCAUCAGACAACCUGUAUCCUUGGGCCACCUUUAAUGCAUCUUCCAGUGAGGAUGGAACAUCCUGUUUGAGAAUGUAUCUG